AGCAGUUCCAUUUCGAACAAAGUUUUUAAGCCGGACAAACUAGGGCGGCGCCGGUCAUUAAGUAUUUACCUUUCCUUAUGAUUGUUAUGGAGAAGGUAGCGUUGGUUAAGGCGACAGUUAUUGCUAACGAUGAAAACAAGGAGUUCGAAUUUAAGUAUAGUCCCUUGGACAAAAAUUCCUUAGAAAGUAUGUAUCUUGCAGUAAAAGAUUUAAAAAAGAAACUUAAUUUAAACUUAACUAAUUUAAUGCU